rnacentral:rRNA from 1 species
UGGGGAUGACGUCAAAUCAUCAUGCCCCUUAUGACCUGGGCUACACACGUGCUACAAUGGGAAGUACAACGAGUCGCAAAGUCGCGAGGCUAAGCUAAUCUCUUAAAGCUUCUCUCAGUUCGGAUUGUAGGCUGCAACUCGCCUACAUGAAGCCGGAAUCGCUAGUAAUCGCGGAUCAGCACGCCGCGGUGAAUACGUUCCCGGGCCUUGUACACACCGCCCGUCACACCACGAGAGUUUGUAACACCCGAAGUCGGUGAGGUAACCUUUUGGAGCCAGCCGCCUAAGGUGGGAUAGAUGAUUGGGGUGAAGUCGUAACAAGGUAGCCGUAUCGGAAGGUGCGGCUGGAUCACCUCCUUUCUAAGGAA